rnacentral:rRNA from 1 species
UGCGGGAUGAAGGCCUUCGGGUUGUAAACCGCUUUCAGUGGGGACGAAUCCAGACGGUACCCACAGAAGAAGCCCCGGCCAACUACGUGCCAGCAGCCGCGGUAAUACGUAGGGUGCGAGCGUUAAUCGGAAUUACUGGACGUAAAGCGUGCGCAGGCGGUUUGGCAAGUCAGAUGUGAAAUCCCCGAGCUCAACUUGGGAACUGCGUUUGAAACUGCCAGACUAGAAUAUGUCAGAGGGGGGUAGAAUUCCACGUGUAGCAGUGAAAUGCGUAGAGAUGUGGAGGAAUACCAAUGGCGAAGGCAGCCCCCUGGGAUAAUAUUGACGCUCAUGCACGAAAGCGUGGGGAGCAAACAGGAUUAGAUACCCUGGUAGUCCACGCCCUAAACGA